GCACCAAUCAUAGAAUGGAGUACACCAUUACAAAGAUCUCGUCGAGCUGAUCGAAAUGCAUAUAUUAUUUGCUAUAUUUGGAGUUCGGAAUCAAGAGAUAUUAAUAAAAGAAGGACUCUACAUAAAAGAGCUGCGGGAUUAAUUGGGCCCAAAUUAGAUUUUGGUCCAUUAAGGCCUAUGUGAAUUUUAAUGAGAUAUGGUGGAAAGUUUAGUACCACAUCGCCUGCUGAACCAAAAACGCACAAAGGAGGAGGACUAUAUAAGCAAGGCCCCUGGCCCCAGGAGGAGAACAUAUCAUUAUAAAGUUGAGAGGUGCCCUCGAAGGUAACCUUUUCUCUAUAGAGAAUUAGGGCUAGACAUUCCAAUGUAGUAGAUUAGUUCUAGUCAGG
rnacentral:lncRNA from 1 species